GACGAACGCUGGCGGCGUGCUUAACACAUGCAAGUCGAACGGUGAAGCGCCUUCCUUUUUGGUGGGUGUGGAUGAGUGGCGAACGGGUGAGUAACACGUGAGUAACCUGCCCCCUUCUUCUGGAUAACCGCAUGAAAGUGUGGCUAAUACGGGAUAUUCUGGGUCUGUCGCAUGAUGGGUCUGGGAAAGAUAUUGUUUCGGUGGGGGAUGGGCUCGCGGCCUAUCAGCUUGUUGGUGGGGUGAUGGCCUACCAAGGCGGUGACGGGUAGCCGGCCUGAGAGGGUGGACGGUCACACUGGGACGGAGACACGGCCCAGACUCCUACGGGAGGCAGCAGUGGGGAAUAUUGCACAAUGGGCGCAAGCCUGAUGCAGCGACGCCGCGUGAGGGAUGGAGGCCUUCGGGUUGUGAACCUCUUUCGCCAGUGAAGCAGGCCUGCCUUGUUUGUGGGUGGGUUGACGGUAGCUGGAGAAGAAGCGCCGGCUAACUACGUG
rnacentral:rRNA from 1 species